GAUGAACGCUAGCGGGAGGCUUAAACACAUGCAAGUCGAGGGGCAGCACUGGGUAGCAAUACUCUGGUGGCGACCGGCGCACGGGUGAGUAACGCGUAUGCAACCUGCCCUUUACCGGAAGAUAACCCGGAGAAAUCCGGACUAAUAUUCCAUGUUAUUACAGAAAGGCAUCUUUUUAUAAUCAAAGUUUAUGGCGAAAGCUGUAUGCGGUAAAGGAGGGGCAUGCGUAACAUUAGCUAGUUGGCAGGGUAACGGCCUGCCAAGGCGAUGAUGUUUAGGGGGCCUGAGAGGGUGAUCCCCCCACACUGGUACUGAGACACGGACCAGACUCCUACGGGAGGCAGCAGUGAGGAAUAUUGGGCAAUGGUCGAAAGACUGACCCAGCCAUGCCGCGUGCAGGAUGAAGGCCCUAUGGGUUUGUAAACUGCUUUUAGCCGGGAAUAAACACCCGUUUUAUAACGGGCCCGAAGGUACCGGCUGAAUAAGCAUCGGCUAACUCCGUGCCAGCAGCCGCGGUAAA
rnacentral:rRNA from 1 species